CUCAAGGGCAGAGCGGGUGUGAAAGCUGCACAGCGUUCGAGCUGCUGUCCGUGUCAGUAGGGAGCAGAGCGUGCACUCGGUGUAUGGAAACCCGAUUUGGCUCCCUGAGAAAAUACUAAGAUGCUGAGGUUUCAAUGAGAACUAUUAGGGUGCCACCAUCUUGGAAAUGUUUCGUGUGAGAGAGCAGAGAGAAAGAAGACUGAGGCUCCUGUGAAGCAACCACGAUGUCUAGAAUAGCUUCGGGUG